UAUGAGGUGGCCGAGUGGAUAAGUUGAUGGACUGCUGAUUCUUUGUGUUCUACAUGCGUGGGUUUGAAUCCCAUCCUUGUCC
rnacentral:tRNA from 1 species